GAUGUUAUAUCAAAAUUUUAAAAUUUAUUUAACCGGAUUUGUUAUUUAUUAAGUUUAGGUUUAAAUUCUUAGAUCAUCUUUGUAUUUGUUGGUGAAUCUCAAGUGGAUUCUCAUAUUUGCAACUGUCUCAAUUGAGUUUAAAUAUUUAAAAAAUUGGGUCAAUUAAGUCAUGUCCAUUAAGUUUUCACAGACGGCGUUAACAGAUGCUAAGCUGUAUAUUUUUUACAUGACAUGGCAUUGUGUAUUAAAUUCAGUGCGUAAUAUGUUUUACAAUAAUCAAUUCCACGUGGAAGCGUCUUCCCUCCAACCAAUCAUCAUCGUUACCCUCUUCACUAAACCUUCACAUCCAGCCUCUCUUCCUUCUCCCUUCUCCCUCAACUACCAUAGACUCCCCUAACCUCCUCGAUCGCAUCUCUCGCCUCCUCUUCCUCCAUCGCCCUGCCUCUCUUAACAGCCUUCGCUUCUCCUUCUCAAUCUCCUUCACCGAUGGCCUCUUAAGCCGCCUCCACCUUCACCUCGUCGUUGCCCUUGUAAAAUAAAUGGAUGAUUAUUAGCAGUUAUGAAGCAACCUUUUUGCAGUAAAUCCCUAAUCUGGGCAAGCACCUUUCUUUUUCACCAUCUCUGAUUCGGGUUCGUGGACAACCCCAACCCUUGGGUGUUCUCUUCUUCUCCUUCGCUUUGAUCUUCUAUCUCGCGCAAGGAAAGUGGUAGCGAUGGCUUCGUGAUAGCACGACCAAGCGGCUUUUGUGGUGCCUCACGGCGACGUGUUGAGCGUUCUUCUUGUUUCCCCU
rnacentral:lncRNA from 1 species